GACGAACGCUGGCGGCGUGCUUAACACAUGCAAGUCGAACGGAAAGGCCCUGCUUUUGUGGGUUGCUCGAGUGGCGAACGGGUGAGUAACACGUGAGUAACCUGCCCUUGACUUUGGGAUAACUUCAGGAAACUGGGGCUCAUACCGGAUAGGAGCUCCUGAUGCAUGGGGGGGGUUGGAAAGUUUCGGCGGUUGGGGAUGGACUCGCGGCUUAUCAGCUGGUUGGUGGGGUAGUGGCUUACCAAGUCUUUGACGGGUAGCCGGCCUGAGAGGGUGACCGGCCACCUUGGGACUGAGAUACGGCCCAGACUCCUACGGGCGGCAGCAGUGGGGAAUAUUGCGCAAUGGGCGGAAGCCUGACGCAGCAACGCCGCGUGCGGGAUGCCGGCCUUCGGGUUGUAAACCGCUUUCGCCUGUGACGAAGCGUGAGUGACGGUAAUGGGUAAAGAAGCACCGGCUAACUACGUG
rnacentral:rRNA from 1 species